rnacentral:rRNA from 1 species
UACGUAGGGUGCAAGCGUUGUCCGGAAUUAUUGGGCGUAAAGAGCGUGUAGGCGGCCCGAUUAGUCCGCUGUGAAAGUCCAGGGCUCAACCCUGGAAUGCCGGUGGAUACUGUCGGGCUAGAGUCCGGAAGGGGCGAGUGGAAUUCCUGGUGUAGCGGUGAAAUGCGUAGAUAUUGGGAGGAACACCAGUGGCGAAGGCGGCUCACUGGACCGGUACUGACGCUGAUGCGCGAAAGCGUGGGGAGCAAACAGG